AACGAACGCUGGCGGCGCGUCUUAAGCAUGCAAGUCGAACGGCAAGAGAGGAGCUUGCUUCUCUCCUAGAGUGGCGGACUGGUGAGGAACACGUGGGUAAUCUACCCUUAAGAUGGGGAUAGCUGCUAGAAAUAGCAGGUAAUACCGAAUACACUCGGCAUAUCACAAGAGGUGUUGAGGAAAGGAAGCUACGGCUUCGCUUGAGGAUGAGCUUGCGUCCCAUUAGCUAGUUGGUGAGGUAAAGGCCCACCAAGGCGACGAUGGGUAUCCGGCCUGAGAGGGUGACCGGACACAUUGGGACUGAGAUACGGCCCAAACUCCUACGGGAGGCAGCAGCUAAGAAUAUUCCGCAAUGGACGGAAGUCUGACGGAGCGACGCCGCGUGGAUGAAGAAGGCUGAAAAGUUGUAAAAUCCUUUUGUUGAUGAAGAAUAAGGGUGAGAGGGAAUGCUCAUCUGAUGACGGUAAUCGACGAAUAAGCCCCGGCUAAUUACGUG
rnacentral:rRNA from 1 species